UACGUAGGGCGCGAGCGUUGUCCGGAAUCAUUGGGCGUAAAGCGCGUGUAGGCGGCCCGGUAAGUCCGCUGUGAAAGUCCAGGGCUCAACCCUGGGAUGCCGGUGGAUACUGUCGGGCUCGAGUCCGGAAGAGGCGAGUGGAAUUCCUGGUGUAGCGGUGAAAUGCGCAGAUAUCAGGAGGAACACCAAUGGCGAAGGCAGCUCGCUGGGACGUGACUGACGCUGAGACGCGAAAGCGUGGGGAGCAAACAGG
rnacentral:rRNA from 1 species